UACGGGGGGUGCAAGCGUUGUCCGGAUUUACUGGGCGUAAAGGGCGCGUAGGCGGUUGUAUCAGUCGGGCUUAUAAGUGCGGGGCUCAACCCCGUGAUGGGUUCGGGACGGUAUGACUGGGGCGCGGUCGAGGGAGACGGAAUGCCGGGUGUAGUGGUGAAAUGCGUAGAGAUCCGGCGGAACACCGGUGGUGAAGGCGGUCUCCUAGGCCGAGGGCCGACGCUGAGGCGCGAGAGCGUGGGGAGCGAACCGG
rnacentral:rRNA from 1 species